rnacentral:lncRNA from 1 species
GAGCCAGGGUAAGCUUGGUGCUACCUCUUUGUUUCUUUGUUGUUGGAGAGUAAUGGAUAGUUUUUGAAUACGAAAAAGUGUACCUAUGGAAUAAAUCAGAGAUUGAUUUAUGAGUUAUUGAUUAUGUAAUUGGAGUAUUGUGUGAUUGAAUUAUAUGAAAAGUUAUUAGAAGCUAUAUUAUGGAUGGAAGAUUAUAAUUGUUGUUUAUUGAGAAUUGUGUAUGUUUCGAUAAAAGAAGUCUAUGAUUACAAAAAUUGUGUGAAUCUAGAUUGGUUGGAGUGAAGUCUGUUAUUUCUUGUGUUGAAUGGAAUUUAUGUGUUUUGAGCAGUCUUUUGAGAGUGUAGGAUUGCACAUUGUUGUUAUCAAUUGAUGAAGGAGUAUUGUUACUAGGAAAAAGCAUUGUAG